UAGCACUUUUAGAUUCUACGUGAAAUUCUAAGAAUUUUGAUAGGUCACAUGUCCUACUUCGGUUAAAUAGUUUUCGAGAUAUAAGCAUUUAAAAAUUUAACUUAUAAAUGCGAAUAUCUCGGAAACUAUUUUGUCAAAGUGUAUCAUGUGACCCAUCAAAUUUCUUGGAAUUUUACGUAGAAUUCAAAAAUGUAUUCAUGUAUAGGGGUUUAUUUAGAAAAAAAACAGAACUUCUGAUAAAACCCGAUGUCAAAUUUAUUUUUUUUAAGAAACUCUUCAAAUGUUUUAGCACUUUUAGAUUCUACGUGAAAUUCUAAGAAUUUUGAUAGGUCACAUGUCCUACUUCGGUUAAAUAGUUUUCGAGAUAUAAGCAUUUAAAAAUUUAACUUAUAAAUGCGAAUAUCUCGGAAACUAUUUUGUCAAAGUGUAUCAUGUGACCCAUCAAAUUUCUUGGAAUUUUACGUAGAAUUCAAAAAUGUAUUCAUGUAUGGGGGUUAAUUAGAAAAAAAACAGAACUUCUGAUAAAACCCGAUGUCAAAUUUAUUUUUUUUUAAGGAACUCUUCAAAUGUUUUAGCACUUUUAGAUUCUACGUGAAAUUCUAAGAAUUUUGAUACGUCACAUGGCCUAGUUGGUUAAAUAGUUUUCGAGAUAUAAGCAUUUAAAUAUUUAACUUAUAAAUGCCAAUAUCUCGGAAACUAUUUUGUCAAAGUGUAUCAUGUGACCCAUCAAAUUUUUUGGAAUUUUACGUAGAAUUCAAAAAUGUAUUCAUGUACAGGGGUUUAUUUAGCAAAAAACAGCACUUCCGGUAAACCCGGAUAUCAAGUUUUUUUUUAAGGAACUCCUUAUAUAUUUUUAGAUUUUACAAGAAAUUUUUAGAAUUAUGAAGGGAAAAAAUAUAUAGGGAGUUCUUAAAAAAAAAAACAAUGUUAACAUCUCGUUUUUCCGGAAGUGCUGUUAUUUUCUAUGUCAACCCCUAUAGAUGAGUAUAUUUUUGAAUUCUACGUAAAAUUCCAAGAAACCUGAUGGGUCACAUGAUACACUUUGGCCAAAGAGUUUUAGAGAUAUUGACCUCUAAAAGUCAAAUUGACCUUCAACGUGACCCUUAGCACGAACUAAAAUGACAUCACUUUUUAACUCACUAAAAUGUCAAAAAUUGUCCAGAAAUCGUUUUAGAAUUUAAGAAAAUUCGGCAACGUAGGCCUAACAGUCAUCUGUCAAUAUAGUCAAAUAGUCAAAGUACCAUCCUAUCAAUUUGAUCCCUCAAUUUCGAUUAAUUUUACUUAUUUUUUUCCAACAAAAUCUCUAUAUUGUCUUGUAAGUUAAUUAUAUUUUUAGAAUUCAAGGAAAUUUGGUAGAAUGGCACUUAGCUGUCAUCUAUCAAAGGUCAAACUGUCAUUUGUCAAACAUAAAUUAUUCCUGUACUUAUUGCCAAUUAUCAUCAUAAAAUUUCCAGUAUAGUCACUAAAUUCAUACUCUAUGGUUCUUUAAUUAAAUUUUAGAAUUCAAGGAAAUUUGGCAAUGUAGCCCUCGCAUCACCUGUCAUUCAGGUCAAACUGUCACUUGUCAACCCGAUUUCAAUAUAAAACGUUGGCACCAAACUGUUACUUUAAAAUCUAUUUUUUUUACCCACUCGCAAUUCGCAGAAUCCAAAUAUCUAUGAAUAAAUAAAAAAAAUAACGAAGUUAGCUCCUUUGAGUUUCUUUAUAGUAUAAAAAAUUAUUAAGCCUUAAGAUGUAUGUACAGGACUCACUUUAAGCGACUUGAAUUAUUCACCCUGUUGAAUUUAAAAUAGAUACAUAAAAAAAUAGUAUUAUGUUAUCACAAUGUGCAGAAAAUAUAUUUUUAUCCAAUUGUGUAACCUCCGUUAUCUCUAUUGAAAUAAGUUAAACUAGUAAAUAUGGACCUUGACAUAUCACAAAAAUAGAUCAUUAGUUCUAAAUGUUACUAAAAUCAGCAGAAAAAAAAAUUGGCAAAUCUCUAAUUUAAUUGGGUUAGCGAUAGAAAUUUCUUUUGACCUUACCGGUUCAAAGUUGAACUUUUUGUGUGGUUUUUUUAAUUGCGAGUUAUCAGCGGACAACGUUAAAUAAUCAUACCCAAAACCCCUGAUAAUAUUUAAUUAGGCAAGGUUAUUAAUAACGUUAUAUAAUAUUUCCGAAAUAUUAGAGGGCAUUUUUUAAGAAUUUGUUUGUUUUGAAAAGUAAGCCAUGAUACUACUAUGAUCUAACAAACUCACCCUCACUCAAAAAUUACAUUUAAACCUUAUCACAUAACAAAACAUAAUAUAUACAAACGAAAUAACAAACAAACAAAAAUAAUUAUAAACUCCUAAAACCUAAACUACGAAAUAGCAAAAAUUUCACAGCAUUUAAAUUUCUUGAGUUGGUAUAUGUUGAUCACGAAUAAUUUCUUAUAGCCUAUAGAGACAUUUAUGCAGACCCUUCACAAAAGGGCUGUCAUUAUUAACGUUGAUAGUGCCCAUCACGAACUUAAUUAAAUAUACCUGGACUGUCAAUUCAAUGAAAAGUUUUUGAGAGGUUAUGUUUACAAAAAGACAAAAUAGAAAGUUACAUUUAGUUAAGAAUUUAAGAUAGUUGCGUUAGGUCUGUGAUUUUUCUUUAAUAAUUUCGUUAAAAUUUAUGAAAGAAAGUAAUCCUCGCCUAAAAUGAGACAAAGUUUCAAUUAAUUUGGGAUAGAUGCAUGCGCUUUAAAAUAUUUGUUUUAUUAUUCUGAUAAUCUUAUAAAUCUAAACUUAAACUACAAAAAAAUCAAUAUAUAGAUGAUUUUAUGAGGGUUUGUAAUUAGCAAGGGUUUAUAUUAUAGUAAAAAUAAACUCUAUAUCGAUAUCAAUAUUCUAAUAAGACGUAUCCCAGAAAUUUCCGAUUUUACGUUUUUUACAAAAAUUCACUGUGUUCCUUCGAAUUCUAAUAUAUCGUAAAAAUCAUUUAACUAGAAAUAUUUGUUAGGCGCCUUUUCUAAUAUAUCGUAAAUAAAACAGCUGAUUUUUUUCUUUCUAAUAGGUCGUAUACCACAGUCGCUCCAUGGUUUUACUAAGUGAGUGUUGAUAGUAUAUACUUUGUCUAUACUUUGUUGCAUUAUUACAAUUAAAAAGGGUAUAUAUAUUUGCAAAAUGUCGAAGGUAAGUUACAUUGUAAUAUCUAUUAUUUUCUUAACGCAUUUAAUUUUAUUUAUACUAUAAAAUUAUAAAAAGUAACAAUAUUUGCUUUUAAAAUAAUUGAAGCGUUCGGACGAAUAACGGUCUAUGGCGUGUAUAGAUUCCACUAAAUAUUAUAAUAGUUUGUUGAUAUACCAAUAGAUCAGGCGAGUAUGCCAAUAUGGCGAGUGUUAAAAUAAUUUUUCAAGUCGGAACAACGGUCUAUGUGACAUCAACUUUGAGCCGCUGUGGUCGUUGAUACUUAACCCAAUGAUUCUGUUUUAUGGUUCAGUGCGAAUAGUUACAUUCUAGUGUGUGUAAUUUAUUUAGAUUAUGGAAAACGGGAUAGAAAGAUCCAAUACUGUUCGGUUUUCACCUACUGAUAUUCGUAGGCUCAAUAAAUCAAAAAGAAAUACCAGACAGAUAAAUGCAGAAACUUGGAAGGAUGUGUCUAGAAAUAAUCGCAGAGAUGCGGGUCUCGAAUACACGACAAGGAAGACAAAAAGUACUAAGUAAAAGAUUUUUUUUUUCAAAUUAAUUAUCUACAUGUUUAGUAUAAUAUUAUUGAAGUCGGUGCCAAGCAAAUGUAUCAAAUCAUUAAACUUGUAAUAGGUUCCAGAUUUCAAAACAGCUUUUUAAAAUGGUACUUGCUUGUCACCGACUUUAAUAAUAUACUUACUAGACCUGUAGGUAAUUAAUUUGUAAAAAAUAUGUGCUACCUUUUUUUUAAAGUCGGUUAAUUAAAAAAAAAUUCCAUAAAUCAUCAUCACUGAUACCAUGCGCAUUAUUAUGUCAUUUGCUGGUGACCCUGUUAUUAUGUGCAACAAAAGUUAUAUGAUUUUUCCUAUACAGUGAGAAUUUUUACCUUAGUUCCAUAGGAAAAACAUGCAAUGAAAUAAAGUUGAGUCAUUGAGAAAUAUUCCGAAGGGUUUUUAGUGCAUUACGAAUAGUAGCCUACAAUCCACAACCAAAAAAUUCAAACUAAUCAAAAUUCAAAUUCACACAUUGAAAAAAUACAAUAAUAAGUAAAGCUGAAUUUUCUCGUCUAUUAAAUAUAUUUUAAACGUGAAAUAUUUUUGAUUUGUUUUGACAUUUAUCAAAAACUUUGUGUUUAUCACCUGACAAUGUUUGUUUGUGUACAGGUGUUAUAUUGUCGGUAUUAUAAUAUUAUAUUUUUCUAUGGAACAUUUUGAAUGACUCAACUUUUUUUCAUUACAGGUUUUUUUCCAUGGAACACAAGCAAAGAUUCACACUGUAUAUGUAUAGAUUUACUAUUUAUGUUAUUUUUUGAAGGUAAACAUAUGCAGCAAAUCUUGUAAGCAAAUGUGAUCACAUUUCACCCUUGAUAUGAGAAAAGAUCUCUUCAAGUUCUUCUAUUCACAUUCGUAUGAUGAGCAGUCGGCGUUUUUAGCCAAAAAGAAGAAGAGCUGGAAAAACAGAUGCUACAUCGUUAAAGUUGUGCACUUUCACGUACUUCAUAAAUAACAAGAAAGUAUGCAAAACUACGUUACUCGAUGUGUUCAAAAUCACUCAUAGACGAAUCCAGACUGUACAAGAUAAACUCAAACUCGGUGUUCAUAUUCCUUUAGAUCAGAGAGGCAAGCAUCAUAAUAGACCAAAGGCGAUUCUACACGAGAGUAGGAACUUGGUUAUGGAACAUAUUAACAAAUUUCCAAGGGUUUUAUUAUAAAAUUUGUUUUCAUUUUUGUUAUUUAUUUAGUCUAGUUAUACAUUUCAACUGGUGAUAAGUAUGGAUUCCAAGGAAAAGGCGCGGUUACUCAAGCUACUAGAGGAGACAUCAACCGAUGAGGAAUCGGAACCAUUCGGCUCUGGAAGUAGUGACAACUAUGAUCCUAAAAAUGACGUGGCCGACUCCUCAGAUUCUGAACAGCAAGUGAAUAUUUCUCCUGAGACCAGUAGGUCAUCAUCUCCUCCUUUUUCUGAUCCUGUUUCUCCCACGAACAGAAUAUCGACACCACAAAUUUCGCAAUCCGAUUCAGAUGACCAAAUGGAUCCAUUUACCAGUCGAAAAUGAUUCGGCCGAUUCUGGUUGGAAUUGAUGACUUCUCCAUGAAUGGAAAUGGAAUAGCAGAACAAAUUUGUCCUGAUCCGGAUUCAUCAGAUACACCAUUAGGUGUAUUUCUCCAACUAUGGGAUGAACGGAUUAUGCGCUUGUUAGUCGAUUCGAGUAAUAUUUAUGCAGACCACUUGUCCCGUUCCGCUCGUCCUAAAACUCGCCACUCCCGAAGUAUGGAUAUCAAGCCUAUAACGAAAGAUGAAAUAAGCAAGUUUCUGGGACUGUGUUUACUGCCAAAAUAAAAUGUCCCAAUAUAAGAAAACUUUUUAGCUAUCAUCCUCUAUAUUACCAUCCGAUUUUCUCGUCGACUAUGAACGGCCGCCGAUUUGAACAAAUCUUGCGAUGUUUCUGCACACACAAUAAAAACGCAUCUCCAAGCAAGGAUAGGUUAUACCGAAUUAAGGAACUUCUGGAUCACAACUUUCAAAGGGCUUAUAGGCCUACGAAAGAAUUGUCUCUUGAUGAAUCAAUGUUGCUGUUUAGAGGACGGCUUUCCGUCAGAACGUAUAUGAAAAACAAGAAGACCAAAUAUGGGAUUAAAUUCUAUGAACUUUGCAAUCCCGAAGGCUACGUUUCGAACAUAGAAAUGUACAAAGGGCAAGGAGCUGAACCGCCGGAUGGAAAUCUUACGAAAAUUGAGGCCUUAGUCACAAGACUCUUGCAGCCAUAUCUCAGUCGCGGACAUCAUAUCUUCAUGGAUAAUUACUAUAACAGUAUUUCUUUGGCAAAAAAACUUGUCGGGUUAAAAACUCAUGUCACAGGUACCCUUCGAAGCAACAGGAAAAGAAAUCCUGUUCUGGUCACAAAAAAAAAUUGUCACUUGGAGAACAUGUUUGGCUGCGAAAAGGAAAAGUAUAUGUGACGAAGUGGAAGGAUAAGCGCGAAGUGCUUGCUCUUACUACUGCGCAUCAUCCUGCCCUAGUGAACACCGCUAAAAGAAAAGGUAAUCCUAAGAUCAAGCCUAUUUAAAUAGUUGACUAUAAUAAGUUCAUGUCCGGUAUUGCCGGUAUGAUCAAAUGGUUUCUUAUUAUUCUUCGCCAAGAAAAAUCUUUUUUUGGUAUGAAAGGUCAUUUUCCAUUUACUGGAUGUCACUAUAAGGAACUCAUACUAUUUAUUCAAGAAAAUGAACGGGUCUAAUAUUAGCUUCGUGAUAUUCAGAGUGAUAAUCAUAAAAUCUCUGCAACAAAUUGAUACAGAAAUUAAAGAUGGGAGAUCAUUGCUGCAACUGCCACCUAGGUUUAGGCCAACUCAGAAUAAAUAUGUUCCUGUUCCAAGUACAAGCGUUUUUGGGGAUCAGAAUUAUCAGAACCAUUUUCCCCAGACAAUCCCAGUUCCUGAUAACUAUUCAAGGAAGCGAUAUUUCUUACGAUGCAGGCAAUGUUCAAAAUUUUCAAAGAGGAAGGAAACCAAUUACAGAUGCUCUGGCUGCCCUGAAAGGCCUGCAUUGAGUGUGGAGUGCUUUGCACCUUGGCAUAGCGCUUAGGGUUUUUAUCAAAUGUUUUCUGGUAUCUUUUACCAAUGAAUUUUGUGUUUUCGUUUAGCUUUUUUGAGAAUGUUAAAUAAGGUUUUUGUAUUUUGAUUUAGAUCUGUUUGAUUAGGCGAAUAAACGUAUUUGUAUAC